rnacentral:rRNA from 1 species
UUGCCAGCCGCCGCGGUAAUAACCGCGCCUCAAGUGGUAGUCACGUUUAUUGGGCCUAAAGCGCCCGUAGCCGGUUUGAUAAGUUUCUGGUGAAAUCCACUAGUAGACUAGUGGAACUGCUGGAAAUACUAUCAGGCUUGAGACCGGGAGAGGUUGGGAGUAUUCCACGGGUAAGAGUAAAAUCUUUUAAUCCGUGGAGGACCACCUGUGGCGAAGGC